AUGCAUUGGGUAUCUUGGAAAGAACUUGCUUCACCCAAGUGCAAUGGAGGUAUGGGUUUCCGUGACAUGCCACUCUCCAUUCUUGCAUUGCUCGGGAAACAUGGAUGGAGACUCAUGACCAAACCUAAUUCUUUGUGUGCCCGGGUCUUGAAGGGCCGCUACUUCCCUGACACUGAUUUCUUACAUGCAUCGGUGCCCAAGUCUGCCUCGGCGACAUGGCGUACGAUCAUAGCAGGAACAGAGGCACUUAAUGCCAGUCUGAUCAAGAGGGUUGGAGAUGGGAUUUCUAUCUCAGUCUGGACUAAAAAAUGGAUACCAGGAACUAUAUCGAUGACACCGUUGUCCAAACCACCGGUUACUAAUGUGAAACAUGUGUCAGAUCUUAUUGACACAGCAAAUUGGACAUGGAAUCAAAAACUGGUUCGAGAUACAUUCACUGCACCUGAUGCUGCAGCUAUUCUUAAUAUUCCUCUAUGGCAGAGAGGCGGUGAAGAUUUCUAUGCUUGGGCCUUUGAUCCCUUGGGCAACUACAUGUAUAGACGGUGUACCAUACUCUUUUUUUUCGAAAAGGAGGAAAACCCCCGGCCUCUGCAUCUGGUCGAUGCAUACGGCCACUUUAUUAAUUAUUAG
rnacentral:rRNA from 1 species